AUCAGUAUCAGAAUUUUUGUUACUUACAUGUUUGCCUAAGUAACUUUUUAAAACAGAAAUUACGUAUAUAUGAUAUAAUUUAUGACCGAAAGUUUUUGUUGGAAAAGAUAAAAAUUGUAGAUUUCGAAAACCCUGGGGCUAGAAUUCAGAAGAACAUUAUGGGCGAUUAGACUGUAAGGAAUGUGUGAAACGGCAAGAGAGGACAUGUGAGGGUUUGCAAUGCCAAGCAGAUACAAAUGGAACAGACAUAUACAUUUGAGCUGGCAAUCACUCAUUUGAUGCAAACAUAUGAAGAUGUUGGGUUUUGAAAUGCUUUUCCUUUCGCUCAAUUCAAAACAGUUGAAUG
rnacentral:lncRNA from 1 species